rnacentral:rRNA from 1 species
UCAGAUUGAACGCUGGCGGCAUGCCUUACACAUGCAAGUCGAACGGCAGCACGGGGGCAAYCCUGGUGGCGAGUGGCGAACGGGUGAGUAACAUAUCGGAACGUGCCCUGGAGUGGGGGAUAACUAGUCGAAAGACUAGCUAAUACCGCAUACGAUCUACGGAUGAAAGUGGGGGAUCGCAAGACCUCAUGCUCGUGGAGCGGCCGAUAUCUGAUUAGCUAGUUGGUGGGGUAAAGGCCUACCAAGGCAUCGAUCAGUAGCUGGUCUGAGAGGACGACCAGCCACACUGGGACUGAGACACGGCCCAGACUCCUACGGGAGGCAGCAGUGGGGAAUUUUGGACAAUGGGCGCAAGCCUGAUCCAGCAAUGCCGCGUGAGUGAAGAAGGCCUUCGGGUUGUAAAGCUCUUUUGUCAGGGAAGAAACGGUCUGGGUUAAUACCUUGGGCUAAUGACGGUA